UACGAAGGGUGCAAGCGUUACUCGGAAUUACUGGGCGUAAAGCGUGCGUAGGUGGUUCGUUAAGUCUGAUGUGAAAGCCCUGGGCUCAACCUCGGAAUGGCAUUGGAAACUGGCGACCUAGAGUGCGGUAGAGGGUAGUGGAAUUCCCGGUGUAGCAGUGAAAUGCGUAGAGAUCGGGAGGAACAUCCGUGGCGAAGGCGACUACCUGGACCAGCACUGACACUGAGGCACGAAAGCGUGGGGAGCAAACAGG
rnacentral:rRNA from 1 species